rnacentral:rRNA from 1 species
GACGAACGCUGGCGGCGUGCUUAACACAUGCAAGUCGAACGAUGAAGCCCUUUCGGGGGUGGAUUAGUGGCGAACGGGUGAGUAACACGUGGGUAACCUGCCCUGUACCCUGGGAUAAGCCUUGGAAACGAGGUCUAAUACCGGAUAUGACCUGCUCUCGCAUGGGGGUGGGUGGAAAGUUUUGGCGGUGCAGGAUGGACCCGCGGCCUAUCAGCUUGUUGGUGGGGUGAUGGCCUACCAAGGCGACGACGGGUAGCCGGCCUGAGAGGGCGACCGGCCACACUGGGACUGAGACACGGCCCAGACUCCUACGGGAGGGCAGCAGUGGGGAAGUAUUGCACAAUGGGCGAAAGCCUGAUGCAGCGACGCCGCGUGAGGGAUGACGGCC